UUGAACGCUGGCGGCAUGCCUUACACAUGCAAGUCGAACGGCAGCACGGGUGCUUGCACCUGGUGGCGAGUGGCGAACGGGUGAGUAAUACAUCGGAACAUGUCCUGUAGUGGGGGACAGCCCGGCGAAAGCCGGAUUAAUACCGCAUACGAUCUACGGAUGAAAGCGGGGGACCUUCGGGCCUCGCGCUAUAGGGUUGGCCGAUGGCUGAUUAGCUAGUUGGUGGGGUAAAGACCUACCAAGGCGACGAUCAGUAGCUGGUCUGAGAGGACGACCAGCCACACUGGGACUGAGACACGGCCCAGACUCCUACGGGAGGCAGCAGUGGGGAAUUUUGGACAAUGGGCGAAAGCCUGAUCCAGCAAUGCCGCGUGUGUGAAGAAGGCCUUCGGGUUGUAAAGCACUUUUGUCCGGAAAGAAAUCCUUGGCCCUAAUACGGUCGGGGGAUGACGGUACCGGAAGAAUAAGCACCGGCUAACUACGUG
rnacentral:rRNA from 1 species